UGCUGUGGUCAUGGUGUCUCUUCACAGCAAUGGAAACCCUAACUAAGAAACAGGUGAAACACCCCCCACCCGAAAGAGGUGCUCAUUCUAGGUGGCCAGGGGAGAAAUGGUAUGGAAGAUGGCAAUGACUAUGUGUGGGUCCAGAAAGGGGAAGCCUAGAAUGACCUUUGUUGGGGCCUUGGGUCUUUAAAAAGAAAUAAAGUAGAUAUCAAAGAUCGACAUGGUUAGGAACGCGAAGCAGACACUGUAGCAGAUUCUGUCUUUAAAUUUGUGUUCCAUAGGGCUUUCUCAAAUCACAUGGCAACAUUCACCAUGUUCUCAAAGUUUAAAUCCUUUCCAUCACUGCCAAACAGAAUAUGCUAGAAAAUGGAGUGCAUGGCCGAACCAAAAGGAGAGGGGACUGAGAAAUGGAGUUGAUGUAGGCUUCCAAACACAGUGAGUUUGCUUGACAUUUGCCAGAAGUAAAUAAAGGAAAUGGAAUAGAGAAAACAAAGCAAAUAUUAAAUCUUGACCUGGAACAUUAGAAGAAAAGUAAUGCAGCAUACCCCAACAUCUACUAAAAACAUUAUUCCCAACUCCUUAUGUACAUACACAGAGAGAGAGAGAGAGAGAGAGAGAGAGAGAGAGAGAGAGAGAGAGAGAGAGAGAGAGAGAAAGAGAGAGGGGGGGGGAGGAAAAUGUUUGGGAAAUUCUGGGGAUACUUAUACUAGCAUUUUGUUGUUUUUUGCCCCCCAACUAAACAGAUAUAUUUAAUCCAAGACCAUCUAUUUUUGCUCACCAAACAUAGGUAUUUUCUCUACCCUCACAGCAACCAAUUCCCCAACUCUUUGGAUACUAACAGUGCCUCCAACAAUUCACUUAAGUCUGACAUUAACUACCAAGAGUUAGCAUCAGACUCCAGGUUUACAGCUCAGUCCUCACUUCAGAUACCAGACACAAUGUCAAGACACCUCUAUGUUUCCAUUCUCCUGGAGAGGAAUGUGGAGUAUAUGAGUAAAAAAUGUAUCGAUUUACAGUAUGCAACAUGAGGAUUUGAUAUAUGUACACAUUUGACAGAUCCAUCCACCACAUAUUUUUGUUUGUGGUAAGAACACUUAAGAUCUACUCUUUUAGGAACUUUCAAACAUAUAAUAAUAUUAUUAACUAUGGCUGCCACGCUAUACAAUAGAACUUAGUGACCUGGCCACCUGAUCUACUGAAACUAGAUUCUUCAUCCAGUAUCCCUAUAUUCCUCUUCCUUCACCUCUAGACCCUGGCAACCAUCAUUCUACAUUCUGCUUCUUGAGUUCACCCACUUCAGUUUGCACAUACGAGAGAGACCUUACAGUAUUUGUCUUUCUAUACCGGGCUUGUUUUACUUAGCAUAAUAGCCUGCAAGUUUAUGUGAACUGUCGCAAAUGGUAAGAUUUAUUUUUAAGAGCCUGUGUGUCACGUUUUCUCUAUCUGUUCACCUGCUGACAGACAAUUGGUUUCAUAGUUUGGCUACUGUAAAUAAUAUUGCAAAUAUUUCUUUGACAUGUUGAUUUCAUUUUCUUUGGUUAUGUAUAUACCCAGUAGUGAGAUUUCUGAAUCAUAUAGUAGUUCUAUUUUUAAUUUUUUGAGGCACUUCCAUACUGCUUUGCAUACUGCCUGUGUCAAUUCACACACUGACCAACCGUGUAUGGGGGUUUCCUUUUCUACAAUCCACACCUACACUAUUUUUUGCCUUCUCAGUAAUGGCUAUUUUAAUAGGUGUGAGGUAAUAUUUCCCUCUGAUUUUCUUUUUAUUUAUUUCAUUUUUAAUUUAUUUUUAUUUUUUGGUUUUUUGAGACAGGGUUUCUCUGUGUAACAGUGUCCUGGAACUUGCUUUGUAGACCAGGUUGGCCUCGAACUCACAGAGAUCCUCCUGCCUCUGCCUCCUGAGUGCUGGGAUUAAGGGCGUGUGCGACCACCGCCCGGCUUUUUUUUUUUUUUUUAAGAUUUAUUUUAUUUAUUACGUAUACAGUGUUCUGUCUGAUUAUAUGCUUGCAGGCCAGAAGAGGGCACCAAAUCUCUUUAUAGAUGGUUGUGAGCCACCAUGUGGUGCUCGGAAUUGAACUCAGGACCUCUGGAAGAACAGUCCUUAACCUCUGAGCCAUCUCUCCAGCGAUUUUCCUUAAUUUUUAAGAUUUCUUAUUUUAAAUUUUAUUUUAUGGGUAUGAAUGUUUGCCUUUAUGUAUGUAUAUGUGUGCACCAUAUGCAUGCCUUGUGCCCACAGAGCCAGAAGAGGAUAUUGGGUCACCUGAAACUGGAGUUAUGGACAGUUUUGAGAUGCCAUGUGGGUGCUGAAAACUGAACGCAGCUUCCCUGCAAGAGCAGCAUGUACAUUUAACCACUGAGCCGUCUCUCUAGUCCAUCACUUGCAUGUCUCUGGUGAUUAGUGAUGUUAAGAAUUUUUUUAUGUACCUAUCGGCCUUUUUUUAAAAAUCUUCCUUGUAAAAAUGUCGGUUCAUGGGGUUGGGGAUUUAGCUCAGUGAUAGAGCGCUUGCCUGGCAAGUGCAAGGCCCUGGGUUCGGUCCUCAGCUCCGGAAAAAAAAAAAUGUCCGUUCAGGUAAUUUGAUGAUUUAGAUAUGAAUUUUCCUUCAAAAAGACUCAUAGUGCAAUGCUAUGUAAUGGUCUCUAGUACAAUGUUCAGAGGUGGGGCUUUGGGGAAGUGUUGGAUCUGGAGGGUUCUGUCUUCAUAUAUGGGUUAAUCCACAGAGUCACUGAUGGCAUUACUGAGAGGUGGCAGAAACUUUAGAAACGGGUCACUGAAGGCAUACUCCUGGUCUUAACUUGUCUCUUGUCCCUUUCCUUUGUCCCUCUCUGUUUGGGGGCUUGAUAAUUUGCUUGAAUGUUUCACAGAAUUAAAGAAGGCUCAUGCUUUACAUUUCUGAGGUUAUUUUAAAGGCUACAAAUGAACAGCUAGAUAGAAAGUACAGAGGACAGGUUCAGAGGGGUCCUAAGCGUAAGAACUUCUGUCCACGGAGGGAUGGUAAAUGUGUUUGCCAGCUGAGAAGCUCUCCAGGCCCCCUCGUGCUGGGGUUUUCAUGAAGGUUUAAUUAAGUAGAUGUGUACAAUAAGUCAUUUUGCCAUUGGUGGUUGAAUUCAAUAUCCAUCCUUUCUGUCCCAGAGUUUAGGGACAGGGCUGAAAGUUUUACAGUUCAAAUCAAGGCUUUCUGCCUUCUAGUCCCCAUCCUGAAGCUUGCUUAGGCUACCAGUCAUCUCAUUAUUAUACAAGAGAUACUUAGAAUUCCAGCAGUCCCCAGCAUUUUAGGAGCUGUGUGCCAGGAACCAAAAAUGCAUAAAUAUAUCCUUAUUAUAUAUAAAGGCUGGGGGCUGGAGAGAUGGCUCAGUGGUUAAGAGCACUGGCUGCAUUUCCAGAGGACCUAGAUUCAAUUCCCAGCACCCACAUGGCAGCUCACACCUGUCUGUAACUCCAGUUCCAGGUUUCUGACACCCUCACAUAGACAUGCACAUAGGCAAUUCACAGAAAAUAAAAAUAAAUUAUAUGUUAAAAAAAUAAAAGCAAAGGCUGCCUCCAUGGGGAAUGGAUAUUGUUUACCUUUUACUGGUGCUGUAGAAAUGAACUUAAAAUCUGAGUACGUUCAUAGAAAUGACAGAGUACAGAUUUAUGCUUCAACUUGCUAUGAACGUCUAGUCAGAUGAGACUCAUGCACUUCCACGAGGUGCAUUUGAUGUCCGUGCUGCGGAUGAAGAGCAGUCUGGCAGGGCUCUGCAGCUCCUGGCCACGUGGUCUUCACUAGGAGUUUCUAUUUCCUCCCUCACUUUUUACAUUACAUGGACUUGUCUCACGAUGGCACCAUUGUGACAGGCUAGCCACACUGUUCCACUGUUAAUUCCAUAAGCCUUCUCGUAAGCAAGUUCAGUAAAUACUCCUAAGCACGGAGCUGUCUUUCUCCACAACAGGUUUCUUGAUAAAAAUGUCUGGCCUUGUGAUGAGAUUGUAUCAUCAUCCUACAUCUGCAGAUUCCUGCUGGGUUGUGUAAUCCCGAGCAGCUGCUUCCUGGUCUGGAAGGGUCUGUCCUCCAGCACAGCAGGAUUCUGAGCACACAGUUUGUGUGCAUGCUUCCUAGCUUCUUUGCAUAUUGUGGGUUUCUCCUUAGUGGUGCAGCUAAGUAAUUAGAACUAAGAUUAGGUCACACACCUAAGAUGCAAGUUAAAGCUAAGUUACUAGUAAAUUAAGGUAGGUCCUCAAAGUGACUUCCCAUUUUCUCUUAGCAUUGCUGAAGGUCCAAGAUCGAGAAAGGGAUGUAGAUUGUAAAUGUCCUCAAGGGUCUAAGCAUUUCCCUUAUGAGGAGUACUGUAGGCAUAGGAGUAUAUGGAUGACAGGAAGUUCAAGGUUUGGUCUACUUCUUUUUGGUCAGUUGGUUAAGUGGGAAGUUAUGGAGCUGGCAUGAAGCUCUACAGAGAGGGAGAAGUUAUGUCUUCUGAGCCUUGUUUCUACUGUUCUCCAUCUGAAGUUAUUUGUUUUGUUAUUCUAUCUCAGAAUAAGGUCUCUCUUCUGAGAAAAAGAAAGAAAGGAGGGAGGGAGGGAGGGAGGAAGGAAGGAAGGAAGGAAGGAAGAAGGUGUGGUAUGAAUUAUAAACAAACAAUAACACUAUACUGCAACACAGGAAGUGAGUAGUAGAAAGGUAACCAGAAAAAUUGUAUUUUAAUGUAUUUGUAGCAUAUUCUUUUUUUCUGGAUGUGAGUAUAAGUCUAGUAAGUGUAAUUGUGGACCAAGAUCUACUUCGAUGUAACUAAAACUAAGUCAGUUUCAUCAAAUAUAGUAUCUGUCAGUGGGUUAACAAGUUCUGGGUAUGUACUGCCUGUUAAUCACAAGUAAGGAUAUCACGGACAAGAGAAUUACGUGCAAAAACAAAAACAGAACCUUAAUGCAGAGGGUGGUUGUGAUCAUCUGAUGGGAAAUUCAGAGAGUUCUGUGGAAUUCUGAUACAAAGGAGGAGCAGCUCUCACCAGAAUUAGCCAGUCAACAACUCACAGGAUGUUGCAGACUGAAAAAUCAGGGUAACCAACUAAUGAGAGUCAGAAAGAACAAACAACAGAUUGGGCAAUAUUUGCUGUUUGCCUGCUGGUUGUUUCGGCCUGUGGGUCAUUUCCGUGCUGAGCGAGAAGGAAGUGAAACACUAAGAAGGAAGCACAUGACAGACAGAGCAGGGCUGAGUCUCCCCAGAGAAGGCAGGGAAGUGGGACCUCAGGAGCAGAGAAGGGGCAAAGAGUCCUGCAACUGUUGGUUUUUUUGACCAAAAGAAGAUUUAGCACUGGAAGAGAGCAGGAGGUAAGGUCCAGUGUGUAAGAAUACAUACUGCUCAGGCAGAGUUCAUGUCCCAGCACCCAGAUCGGGCAGCUCAGCCUGUAACCAGCUGUAGUGUGUGUGUGUGUGGAACAACUUGUUCCUGUAGGGAUUGUGUUGUGGGGUAUCCCACCAGAGAAUACUGCUCAGACACAGGUUUAAGCCAAUAGAAAGUCUUUAUUAGCUGGACUGUGACUACACUCCGGGUCCCAGUAUAGCCUGGAGCCUUUUUUAGGGUGAACUUUCAAAGACAAAAAAACCAUAUUCUAGCUUGACAUACUUCAGUUAGCAAGAACACUUAGCCAGAAGCGAAACUACGGAAGCCAAAAAGCACUGAUUGCUCUUGCAGAGGACCCAGUUUCAGGACCCAGACCCCUAUGGCAGCUCACAAACAGCUGUAACUCUAGUUCCAGGGAAUCUGAUACCCGCUCCUAACCUCCUUGGGCACCAGGCACAUACAUGGUGCACAGACAUAUACCAAUACACAUAGAAUAAAAAAUUUUAAAUGUUUAUAAAACAUUUAAAGAAAUCUGUUUGUGUAUUUUCAUAUGUUUAAAACAUUUUAAGUGUUAUAAAACAUUUAUAUGAAAUCUGUGUAUUUUAUUCCAUGUUUAUGUGUGUGUGCUUGUAUGGCAGAGCUUGGGUACCCUACGUUGUACCUGUGAAAGUCAGAGAACAACUUUUGGGGGUUGGUUUCUCACUUUCUACCUUCCUAAGGCUCCAUUAUGACCUGCAACACCCCUCCAUAACCUGCCCACUCAACCCUUCCCACAGCUCACGAGGCCUUGUAUUCUGAAUGGAGCAUUUGCUGUGUGCCUCCUUAUUUUAACGGGUGGUUUCAUCUCUAGCUCCACAGUAGUCUUCUGUUCUUUUCAUUCAGAAAUCCCACAUGACUUUCAGGCUCAUUUCCCUAGGCAAGACAGGCACAAUAAACCCUACCCAAAGUCCUCUCUCCCUUUCUCCUUCUUAUAUAGCACUUAGUCAGAGUUCAAAGUUCUCUUUGAUGUCAUACUGAAUAACCCUUCAGUUUAACAGCAGAGGUUGUGAGACUUGGCCAAUACUCCAUUAACAGUGGUAGCUGAAACAAGAAUCGAAGAGUCUUCAUAUAUAUUCGUGAAUAUAUAUACCAUGGUGAAAAACCAUUACUUUGUAUGCUAACCUAAAUGGAACAAAGAAAACAGUCUGGGUGUCUUAAACCUAGCCUCCUUCUAACCACACCUUACUGUCUUUUCUUUACCAGCUAUAAUGUAUUUUAUUUCCUCAUUCUUUUCUUUUGAGAUAGGGUCUCAAUGUGAAGCUGACCCGGCUCAUUAUGCAGACCAGGCUGACCUCCAACUCACAGAGGUUUGCCCUCCUGCCGGUGCUGGGAUUAAAGGCAUGUGUCCAUCCAGCAAGUUUAAUCCCAUUCAAUCUUGUAUUUUGUUUAAUGUUUACAUAUCAAAUAGUCCAGAUUUAAUUACAGGCAGAUCAUUAUAUAGGAUAAUUAUUGGUGCAGAGUCUAUUAUCAGGUGACAAACCCUUUAUGCGGUAUUCAAGGCUGGAGUUCAAAGGAAGGGUUAAAUAGAAUUCAGAUCUCUGUGAAGCCCAAGUGGAGGAUUUUCUGAACCUAUCUGAUGCUGCUACAACUUCCUCACAUGUGAGCUCAUGGGGAUGGCCAGGCCUAAGCUCCCCUAUGCUUCUAAUAAUUUCUGACUGUGUGGCUGGGCACAUUAACUCCGAGUCCAAUGUUUACAGGCCUGUAUCCUGCUGGGAGAGGGAGCUCAGGCUGACUCCACCAGAUAUUCUGGGGCCUCAAGGACUUGCUGCAGGAGGGGGAAAGGAAGGGUGGGGCUUUCCCCGGUUACUGUAACUCUCCACAGAUUUCUGGGAAGCCUGCAAUAACAUGAAUUGGAGGGAAAAGUCUCUCAGCACUGACAAAAACGACAGAGAUGGAAACCUGACACAGCAUGAGAUGAGCUUGAGUAGGAGGAAGUAGAAAGGGGAAAAAAAAGAGGAAGUGGCAGGAACAAAGGACGACAAAAGGAAGCUGGGCACCACAGGGUAGGUGGUUAGUGUGGACCGAAGACCAACGGAAUGUUUUAAGGCUGGCGCUGCAGGGAGAUAAGGAUGGGAUGAAUGUUUUAGAGAAACAAUCCAAGAAUAGACUUAGCAUGUAUUCUCUUGAGACCCGUUUUCCUAUUUUGCUUCGGUAAACACAACCGCUCUGUAUUCACCCCCCUACUAGGGACAUGGAAAGGACUGGCUGAGUUCCUGAUCUCAAAGUAUGCUCAGUGCCCAGAACAGACCUACACAUGGACCUGACCGGCCUUGGACAGGACAGGCUGAUGAUUCAGUGGUUAGAGUUCCAGGGAUAUUACAAUGUUAAUUAUAGCUAACUUCUAAGUGCUUUACAUGGGCUAUGCCAUUUGAGCCUCGUGAAAGUGUAGGUACCAUUUCAUUAUACUUAUUCUUCAGAUGUGAAAACGGAGGUUUAGGAUUGAAGUAAGUUAUCCAAGAGCAUACCUGUGUGGUAAAAUGAAAGUUUCAUCAGGAGAAAACCUGUGCCAGGACUGGGGAUGUAGCUCAGUGGGGAGCGUGAUCACCUAGCAGGCACAAAACCCCACGCUUGAGCCCUUGCAUUGCAUAAAAACAACCGGUGUGGUGAGCUUGGGGUCAGUUCCACUACUUAGCAGUCAUGGGCCCUAAUGUUGGCAUUCUGCCCCCUCCCUUGGGGACCCGCCCUGCGUCCUGACUAAGGCCUCCUUUGGGGAAAGAUCCCUCCCUUCUUCUUCUUCCUCUUCUCCUUCCUCCCUUUCUUGACAUGAGGUGUGCACGCCUCCGCUUUCCUUCUUUCUCUCCCUCUCUCUUUCUUCCCCCUCUCUCUCUUUCCCCCUCUUUCUCUAUCUAUUAUAAUAAACUCUCCACGUAGAUGCUGUGUCUCAUGGUAUGAAUGACUUUGCAUGCGCCACAGCCCCCGCUGGGUCUGUAUGGCGUGUCUUCCUCACCCGUGGGGCACCUUGGUCCAACCCGCCAAGGCCACCCAAACUGUAUCAUAAUACCUAGGACAGUCUUACUAAUUCCUUUCAGUCUCGGCUGCUGCUUUUUACAUACUAAGCAUACUGUCGUGGAUGUGGAGCUAUCAUGAAGGGUAGAGAUAAUCGUCAGGAAGGUUUUGCAGAGGUGGACAUGAGUGGGAUCUCAGGUAAAUGGCAGUUGGUAUUGCUCUAAGUCUCUCCGCCAGCCCCCAGCCUGCUAAGAAGUGAGGAAGGAUUUCAAAGUCUACACUUUUCUUUCUCUCUCUGACUUGAGUUGUGGGAGAUCAUUACAGCAGAACAUGGGUUCAAGAAGGAUAAAACUAGAAGCAGAAAGACGGGGCCAGAGGUUACGGCCAUGUGGCAGACAGCUUCUGGGUAGAUCAUCCAUCUCAUGCCAACUCUUUCUUCUUGAUAAAUGACUGUAGGACACAAGGGUCUUUCUCCACAGCUAUUCUUGCAUCAGUAAUUCACUGAACCACCCCUACUUUCUUAACUAGUGUUGGUCUUCAAGCUCUCCCAGGAAUUUUGAACCAUGAGGUUUAACAUUGUUACAGCCAAGUCACACUUGAUGUAGACCCUUUAGCGAAAGGUCCAGGAAACCUCCAUUGCUGCUGAAGCCUGAGGAAUUACCAUGAAGGCUGCGGGUCCAUAGUGAGUCUACCUUCAUUCUAUGUACAUGUUCACUCAGUUCAUUUUUAUUUUCCUUCCUAAGGUGACAUUUUCCACCAAUACAACUCUAAUGUGUGCCAUAGUGCCACGAUUACUGGGAGAAAACACAAAUCCAACAAAUCUGGUCUGUUAGGGGAGAAAACCACGUACGGUUAGGAAUAUUUAGUGUAGGGGAGAGUUCCGAACAAUUUCCUGGCUUGAGGAGAUGGGGCCCAUGUUGCUACCAUCAUGAAGACAGGGCAUAUGAGGAAGAAGGGGCCUAAGGGGAAACACUGGACUCGAAGUGCCCAGACGACUUCCUGUGGAGAUAGACGUUCAGUAAGGUAGACAGCAAGAACUGGAACUCCUGGAGAAAAGCCUAAGCUGGAGGUAACUAGAUGGGAGCUUUUGGAAUUUGCAUAGUAUUAGAACUUCCUCAGAAAGACUCAGAUGCUGAAAGAAUCCAGGAAUGGAAUUCUAGAGAAUGCCAAUGCCAAAGAGGGAAGUGACCGGGAAAGCUCUUAAAGAAAAUGAGAAGGAAUGAUCAGAGGGAGAAGCAGAGCUAGGAGAGGUGCUGAAUGCAGCAGGUGUUGGAGAAGGAAGCAUCGAGAUCAGUUCAGCGCCCUUCCCAGCAGCCUCUUCACCUACAGCUACUUACCCAUUAGACUGGUCACCUGCACCCAGGGAAUUUCUUUCAACUUCUGCUCUUUGCUUUGAUCCCUGGACCUUCCUGCACUGCCUGGCUUCCUUGGCUCCAUGACUCAAUUGGGCUAUCUGAUGGCUGUUAAAUGUUGUAAGUUCCCAACAGCAAAAGGAACCCAAAUCAAAGCAACCUAUGGUUCUUUUAUACAACACACCGGUGUUAUUAGUUCUCCUGAGUAAGUCGACAAAUCCUUCUGUUAACAGAGGCUGUGGGGAGGGAGGCAGGCACCAACUCUGCUGGUGGCAUUUUACAAACAGGCCAUUUUCUGUGCAGAGUGAUCAGAGAAGCCAUAUCAAACCUGUGUGUAUCAGUUGUUUGCUUUGGAACAUACAUCAAGGAAAAAGACUAAGGGAGAAAAGGAGUGUGUGGUAAUAAUUCAGGUCCCACGGUUUACAACAGUGCGAAACUGGGCAAGAUCCAAAGCCUCCACUUUAAAGCUGUGAUUAAGUAACGGCACACCAACCGACACAGAACACUUCGUAACCACCAAAAAUGAUGUCCGUGUAGACGUGAAAAUGCAACUGUGAAAUAAAAUGAAGCAAAAAAAAAAAAAAAAA